rnacentral:rRNA from 1 species
CCCUGUCAGGGGGACAACCCGCCGAAAGGCGGGCUAAACCCGCGUACAUGCCACCGGGGCAUCCCGGAGGCAGGAAAGGCUUCGGCCGGACAGGGAUGGGCAUGCGGCGCAUUAGGCAGUAGGCGGGGUAACGGCCCACCUAACCGACGAUGCGUAGGGGUUCUGAGAGGAAGGUCCCCCACACUGGUACUGAGACACGGACCAGACUCCUACGGGAGGCAGCAG